AAGUCGUAACAAGGUUUCCGUAGGUGAACCUGCGGAAGGAUCAUUAAUGAAAUGUUUGUCGAGAAGGGUUGUAGCUGGUCUCCAGAGGCAUGUGCACACCCUGAUCGCAUCCACCUCCCACACUUGUGCACCGCCUGUAGCUUGGGAUGAUCACGGAGCCCUAUGGGUGACGAAUGCCCUUGUCUAUGAAUAUUUUCACACACGCUCAAAGCAUGACAGAAUGUACAUCAUAUUGCGUCUGAUAAACGUGACAAAUACAACUUUCAACAACGGAUCUCUUGGCUCUCGCAUCGAUGAAGAACGCAGCGAAAUGCGAUAAGUAAUGUGAAUUGCAGAAUUCAGUGAAUCAUCGAAUCUUUGAACGCACCUUGCGCUCCUUGGUAUUCCGAGGAGCAUGCCUGUUUGAGUGUCAUGAAAUUCUCAACUGCCCCCAGGCUUUUGUGGCUUGCGGGUGAAGUUGGAUUUGGAGGCAUGCUGGCGCAUGAAUGGGUUUUGUGCCCUGCUGUGCUUGUCGGCUCCUCUUAAAUGCAUGAGCUUUCCGAUCCUUGGCAAAGUAUCGUCGAUGUGAUAAUUAUCUGCAUCGCCCGAGAAAGCCUAACAGGGGAAAUCUUUGAUCACGCUGGGGUGACCCACGUCUGACAAAUUCGACCUCAAAUCAGGUAGGACUACCCGCUGAACUUAAGCAUAUCAAUAAGCGGAGGAAAAGAAACUAACAAGGAUUCCCCUAGUAACUGCGAGUGAAGCGGGAAAAGCUCAAAUUUAAAAUCUGGUGGCCUUUGGCCGUCCGAGUUGUAGUCUGGAGAAGCGUUUUCCGUG
rnacentral:rRNA from 1 species